GACACAGGCACCGGCUUAGAGACCUCAGUCCCCCGGAGGAGGCUGGUCUGUGGGCAUCUUAGGACAUCCGUGAGAAGGCUCCAGAUGGAAAAUGCUGGAGGGCCCAGGUUUUCAGGAAGGCACCUCCUCACCUUUCAGUCCGGGAGAACUUGUUCCAGCAAAGCCAGGGAGAGAGGCUCGCCGGCCCAGGCCUCUCCAGCUUCUCUUAAAGGCGAAAAGAGAAGCUGAGGACCCCGCACGCUCCCCAGCGCAUGGAGCUGAAGCCACGACCCCAAGGAUCCCAUCCAAGAAACCCUAUCAUGUUCAGUCAUCAGGUCUCCUUGGGCUCCUCUCGGCUGUGAUGGUUUCUCAGACUUGCCUUGUUUUUGAUGACCUGGGCAGUUCUGAGGCGUGCUGGUCAGGUGUUUUGCAGAAUGUUCUUCAGCUGGCAUUUGUUUGCUGAUUUUCCUCAUGAUGAAACGAGGGUCACGGGUUUGGGGGAAGAAAACCACAGGGAUAAGGGGCCAUUCUCGUCACAUAUCAAGGGCACAUACUGUCACCAUGACUUCUCGUUGCUGACGCUGACACUGACCCCCUGGCUGAGGCCGUGUUGGUCACUGUCCAGUUCCUCCUUUGGCCCUUUCCACGCUGUCCUCUUUGGAAGGAAGCACAUACCUCUCUGCACAGCACACACGGAAGGGCUGGGGAGUGAGGCUCCGCUCCCUGGAGGCUGAGUGUCCACCUGAUUCGGGAUUCGUCUGCACAGUUCGUCUGUCCUCCCUCGUUUGUGUCCCUCUCCAGUCACCGCUUUCCAGCGCUAUGGACUCAGGGAUACUUCCUUGAGGCGCUGGGUUAUCAUCCACUACUACUUCAUUCUGUUGCUCAGGCCUUUCCAGAUGUGGCCACUGGAGGCGCUUUCCAUUGGCUCCUGCGUCCCUCUGAUCUAUCUCAUCGCUGUGCUUUUGUGGAGCGCAUCCUUCUGAUACGAAGACGCGCCAGACUCCAGCUGUAUAUUCCCUGUCCUCGUCCUGCAAUCAGUCAUUUCUCCCAGGAGCCCUGGUUUCUCUCAUGACACCACGGUGUUAAAAA
rnacentral:lncRNA from 1 species